rnacentral:rRNA from 1 species
UGCGAAGGGGGCUAGCGUUGCUCGGAAUCACUGGGCGUAAAGCGCACGUAGGCGGGCUCUUAAGUCGGUGGUGAAAUCCUGGAGCUCAACUCCAGAACUGCCUCCGAUACUGAGAGUCUCAGAGUCCGGGAGAGGUGAGUGGAACUGCGAGUGUAGAGGUGAAAUUCGUAGAUAUUCGCAAGAACACCAGUGGCGAAGGCGGCUCACUGGCCCGGUACUGACGCUGAGGUGCGAAAGCGUGGGGAGCAAACAGG